UUUAGGGGGUGCUCGGGAUGCAAUGAAUGUUAUAUCCUCAGUUAGGUGUUUCUCUCCAUGAUCUUAUUUUCUCAAUAAUAAGAUAUCUAAACUUGAAAUGAAAUGACGUUUUUCUUGGAGACAAAACACGCUACAACUGCAUAGAUACUAAAUUGAGGACUAUUGACAAGGAUACAAUCCAAUUCUUAUGUACAUGACUAAAUGCAAUAGUAGCUACAUUGAGCUUAUUUUGUCCUAUUCCAAUUACUCAAUGCUCAUUAAAAAGAAGCAUAUUUAAAUUAGCUAGAGAGCUUUCCAUCUUUGCCUUUAGGAACUGUCGUUUGUUUAAUCCUUGCAUUCUAUACGUAAAAUAGACCAAAAAUAGUUAUUGAUAUGAAAUAUCCUUUCAUUCAUGUCUUAAUUUAAAGCAUAAUAACAUUUUUUGAGAGAAAAAUACCCUAAAAUGUCUGCAAAGUGGCAAAACAGGGAACUUAUAUGUUGCUGUGACAGCUAAAUAGGAUUUCCUUUUUGUCGGAUGGAUUGGACCUAUCUUCUAUUGAUUUAGAUUUGUGUUAAUGUAUAAAUUUUAAAAUUUUAUUCUUCAUACAUAAACACCAGAGCGAAAUAAAACUUUUCUCUAUAUUCUUGGUACACAGAUGUUUAUCUUUUACAAUUUUAUUACCAUUAUGGACAAUAUUGUUUAUCUUUUCUCUAUAUUCAUGGUAUGCCAAUGGCUGCACGAAUUUACUAAUUUACUAAUUUAGUAAUUUACUGAUUUC